GCGACAGCAGCUGCAUAUAGUCAAUGCAGAACCGACACGUCGACUAAAGUCUAGGUAGAAAACGAUGAUGACAAUUCAUACCUAUAGGUCUCGACCAAGUCUCGUGCCAGCAAUCGCGGUAAUACGUGGAAGACUAGUGUUAUUCAUCUUUAUUAGGUUUAAAGGGUACCUAGACGGUAUUUCUAGCCCAAAAUAGGGUACGGAUUUACUAGAGUUUUAUGUGAGGAGGGGAGUACUCAUAGAGUAGAGAUGAAAUUUUGUUAUACUAUGAGGUAACUGGUGGCGGCGAAAGCAACCUUCUAUGUAUAAACUGACGUUGAGGGACGAAGGCUUGGGUAGCAAAUAGGAUUAGAUACCCUAGUAGUCCAAGCAGACAAUUCUGAAUGCCAUAGAUUAGAUUAUUUUUGGUCUAUAAAUGAAAGUGUAAGCAUUCCACCUUAGGAGUAAUGUGGCAACACAGGAACUGAAAUCAUUAGACCGUUUCUGAAACCAGUAGUGAAGUAUGUUAUUUAAAUUGAUGGUCCACAAAAAACCUUACCACAACUUGAAUAUUUUUAAUUUAUACAAGCGUUGCACGGCUGUCUUCAGUUAAUGUCGUGAGAUUUUGGUUAACUCCAUUAAUUAACGUAAACCCUUACUUUAUUUUUUUUUUUUUAAAUAAAAUCCCCAUUUUUUGGAUUAUAAAAAAAGGGACAAAAAAAAUUCUCCUGGGCCUUAAGGUGGGGGC
rnacentral:rRNA from 1 species